GAUGAACGCUGGCGGCGUGCCUAAUACAUGCAAGUCGAGCGAAGCGGGGACGGGUGAGUAACACGUGGAUAACCUCCUAUAAGACUGGGAUAACAGCGGGAAACCGGAGCUACACCGGAUACUAAUAGAUGGAUCCGCGCUGCAUUAGCUAGUUGGGAAGGUAACGGCUUACAAAGGCAACGAUGCAUAGCCGACCUGAGAGCGGUAUGGGCCACACUGGAACUGAGACACGGGCCAGACUCCUACGGGAGGCAGCAGUAGGGAAUCUUCCGCAAUGGGCGAAAGCCUGACGGAGCCACGCCGCGUGAGUGAUGAAGUUCUUCGGAUCGUAAAACUCUGUUAUUAGGGAAGCGUUACCUAAUCAGAAAGCCACGGCUAACUACGUGCCAGCAGCCGCGGUAAUAC
rnacentral:rRNA from 1 species